rnacentral:rRNA from 1 species
UACGUAGGGGGCAAGCGUUGUCCGGAAUCAUUGGGCGUAAAGAGCGUGUAGGCGGCUCGAUAAGUCUGCUGUGAAAGUCCAGGGCUCAACCCUGGGAUGCCGGUGGAUACUGUCGGGCUAGAGUACGGAAGAGGCGAGUGGAAUUCCCGGUGUAGCGGUGAAAUGCGCAGAUAUCGGGAGGAACACCAAUUGCGAAGGCAGCUCGCUGGGACGUUACUGACGCUGAGACGCGAAAGCGUGGGGAGCAAACAGG